rnacentral:rRNA from 1 species
UACGUAGGGGGCAAGCGUUGUCCGGAAUCAUUGGGCGUAAAGAGCGUGUAGGCGGCCUGGUAAGUCCGCUGUGAAAGUCCAGGGCUCAACCCUGAAUGCCGGUGGAAACUGUCAGGCUCGAGUCCGGAAGAGGCGAGUGGAAUUCCUGGUGUAGCGGUGAAAUGCGCAGAUAUCAGGAGGAACACCGGUGGCGAAGGCGGCAUCCUGGACCGGCAUUGACGCUGGGGCGCGAAAGCCAGGGGAGCAAACGGG